AACGAACGCUGGCGGCAUGCCUAACACAUGCAAGUCGAACGAGACCUUCGGGUCUUGUGGCGCACGGGUGCGUAACGCGUGGGAACCUGCCCUUAGGUUCGGAAUAACUCCCCGAAAGGGGUGCUAAUACCGGAUAACGUCUUCGGACCAAAGAUUUAUCGCCUUUGGAUGGGCCCGCGUUGGAUUAGCUAGUUGGUAGGGUAAAAGCCUACCAAGGCGACGAUCCAUAGCUGGUCUGAGAGGAUGAUCAGCCACACUGGGACUGAGACACGGCCCAGACUCCUACGGGAGGCAGCAGUGGGGAAUAUUGGACAAUGGGCGAAAGCCUGAGCCAGCAAUGCCGCGUGAGUGAUGAAGGCCUUAGGGUUGUAAAGCUCUUUUACCCGGGAUGAUAAUGACAGUACCGGGAGAAUAAGCUCCGGCUAACUCCGU
rnacentral:rRNA from 1 species